rnacentral:ncRNA from 2 species
UCAUGCUUAAAUAUUGUCGGUUCUGAUGGGGACCAGCCAUCAGACGUAAGGGGGAAAGUCCGGCGUAAAUCCGGCGCUGUCCCGCAGCUGUGAGGAGAGACACAACUCUCGAAGUCAGAAUGCCCGCCGAACUGUCUCCUCUGGA